rnacentral:rRNA from 1 species
GUAGACACGAGUUUGAUCAGUGGCUACAGGACGACGCUGGCGGCGCGCCUAACACAUGCAAGUCGAACGAGAGAUGAGGAGCUUGCUCUUCAAAUCGAGUGGCGAACGGGUGAGUAACGCGUGAGGAACCUGCCUCAAAGAGGGGGACAACAGUUGGAAACGACUGCUAAUACCGCAUAAGCCCACAGCUCGGCAUCGAGCAGAGGGAAAAGGAGCAAUCCGCUUUGAGAUGGCCUCGCGUCCGAUUAGCUAGUUGGUGAGGUAACGGCCCACCAAGGCGACGAUCGGUAGCCGGACUGAGAGGUUGAACGGCCACAUUGGGACUGAGACACGGCCCAGACUCCUACGGGAGGCAGCAGUGGGGAAUAUUGCACAAUGGGGGAAACCCUGAUGCAGCGACGCCGCGUGGAGGAAGAAGGUCUUCGGGUUGUAAACUUCUUUUACCAGGGACGAAGGACGUGACGGUACCUGGAGAAAAAGCCACGGCUAACUACGUG